CAAUAGCGUAUAUUAAAGUUGUUGCGGUAAAAAAGCUCGUAGUUGGAUUUCUACCGAAGAUAGCCGGUCGGGUCUUCGACCUUGUAUCUGGUUUUGUCUUUGGUAUCCUCAUAGGGAACGUUUCUGCGCUUUAUUGCGUGGUGCGGUGUCUAUGACUUUUACUUUGAGGAAAUUAGAGUGUUCACGGCAGGCAAACGCCUUGAAUAUAUUAGCAUGGAAUAAUAACAUAGGAUCUUCGUCCUAUUUUGUUGGUUUCUAGGGCUAAGAUAAUGAUUAAUAGGGAUAAUUGGGGGCAUCUGUAUCAACGCGUCAGAGGUGGAAUUCUUGGAUUGCGUUGCGACAAACUACUGCGAAAGCAUUUGCCAAGGAUGUUUUCAUUGA
rnacentral:rRNA from 1 species